CCUUUCUCCGCGAUUCUCAUUGCUUGCACUUAAGCAGCUUCGGAAAAUAUAAAAUUUUAUGUGAAAUAUAAAAAAUAAAUACUAAAUUAACAACAAAAAUAAUACCAAGUGAAUACUAAAUUAACUGCCUUUCUCCGCGAUUCUCAUUGCUUGCACUUAAGCAGCUUCGGAAAAUAUAAAAUUUAAUGUGAAAUAUAAAAAAUAAAUACUAAAUUAACUAUAAAAAUGAAAUCGAGUGAAUAGUGAAUUACCUGCCUUUCUCCGCGCUUCUCAUUUUUCGCACUCAAGGAGCUUCUCUCUCUUUCUCAGCAGUGUUACUCAUCAAAUUACUUGGCACUUAAUUGAUUCGUGUGCGGAAAAUACGACGAGGGAGCACUUGGAUGGCUUAUAAUUCCCCAGCUGGUAUCCGAAUGACUGACUGCAAUUGAUUCGACUACCGGCGUAUUGCCCCCACUUGAAUGCUAUCAUCGGGAGCUCAUUUACAUGUGAAUUUGCCGAAUGUCAUUUGGAUAUUUUGACAGUCGAAGGCAACCUAAGUGGGCAUACGAAAACAAGGAGCCAUAUGUUUGCACAGGCGGAGGAUUUUCCAUUCCCAUGUCUUGCUGACCCUCUUCAAGUGCCAGGUGCUCCGAAUUCUCCAGUGUUUGCCGACUCCUCCGCAGUCAGUGUCUCUGGUGUCUUAUUGAUUUUCUCCUAUAGCUUUCACUUGCCGCAAUUUGAAGUGCCACAUACACACCAACACAGAUAUUCACGCACACAGACACGGGCACGCAUAAAAGCGAAAAUGAGAUGAAAACGGAGCCACCAAGAAGGCAACGAGAGGAAUAAACCACAAAGAGAGACAUGAGGCAAAAAGAAUCGAAUACAAAAGUGGCUUUUAUUGGCACUCCCCAAAUAGUUAAUUAUAAAUUCCGUAUAACCGCUUCACGUGAAUUAAAAAUUAUAAAUAUUUAAAUCAGUAUGGACACAAACUGAACCAUAUAUCGUAUAUAGAAAAAGUAUUCAUUUAUCUCCCCAUCAAUUGCGCACUUGAUGUUAAAUGACUGACAGAUUUCCACCCACCCUUUCGAUUUUAUAUUUUCCCCGCGAAAACAAAGAAAAUGCUUGAAAUAAAUAUAUAUAUAUAUUCUCGUGUACGAUAACGAGCGAAAAAAGGAGAAAUAGUCGUAUCGAUCCGCUUCGCUGGGAUUAUUGCUGCCCAUGAUUUUGCCAAAAACUGUGAAGAAAUAAAAAACAAAAAUACGACAAGCGGAUGGGUGAAAAAACAAGAAAACAAUUUAAGAGCUGCCACCAAAGGGUUAACAACAACGUGGACAAUACUAACACAACGAGGGAAAUCGCAGCAAUUCAAUUAAAAUCGCUGACACAGACUCAAAGUGGGGAAAAGCGUGAAAAUCGAAGUAAAGCUGCCGGAGAUUGAGGCGAACGAAAAUAGACGUUAAAAGGGUUAAAUGGAAAUGCAGUAUGGGCUACAAAAAGCCACGCUUCUUUUGCCAGCUUGAAUGGGCAUUACGUGGCGAGGUCGAAAAGUCAAAAUAAGACUUUAAGAAAAACUGAAAGACUCUACUCACGUUUGAUGAAUGUCCUGCGGAUGCGCAGGAAGCAGGAUCGCGAGCGGGACAGUCGGACGAGCUCCUCCGGAUGCGAUCCGUUCUGGAUGCAGAUGAUCGGCGCCAAGGGCGCGAUGCGGCAGUGACUGCGACUG